GACGAACGCUGGCGGCGUGCUUAACACAUGCAAGUCGAACGGAAAGGCCCUGCUUUUGUGGGGUGCUCGAGUGGCGAACGGGUGAGUAACACGUGAGUAACCUGCCCUUGACUUUGGGAUAACUUCAGGAAACUGGGGCUAAUACCGGAUAGGAGCUCCUGCUGCAUGGUGGGGGUUGGAACGUUUCGGCGGUUGGGGAUGGACUCGCGGCUUAUCAGCUUGUUGGUGGGGUAGUGGCUUACCAAGGCUUUGACGGGUAGCCGGCCUGAGAGGGUGACCGGCCACAUUGGGACUGAGAUACGGCCCAGACUCCUACGGGAGGCAGCAGUGGGGAAUAUUGCACAAUGGGCGGAAGCCUGAUGCAGCAACGCCGCGGGCGGGAUGACGGCCUUCGGGUUGUAAACCGCUUUCGCCUGUGACGAAGCGUGAGUGACGGUAAUGGGUAAAGAAGCACCGGCUAACUACGUG
rnacentral:rRNA from 1 species